rnacentral:rRNA from 1 species
UACAGAGGUCCCAAGCGUUGUUCGGAUUCACUGGGCGUAAAGGGUGCGUAGGUGGCCGGGUAAGUCUGAUGUGAAAUCUCGUGGCUCAACCACGAAACUGCAUUGGAUACUAUCCGGCUAGAGGAUCGGAGGGGGGACUGGAAUUCUCGGUGUAGCAGUGAAAUGCGUAGAUAUCGAGAGGAACACCAGUGGCGAAGGCGAGUCCCUGGACGACUCCUGACACUGAGGCACGAAAGCUAGGGGAGCAAACAGG